GCCAGCGUGGUGUAGUGGUUUGAGUGCUACAUUACUACUCUAGAGACUAGGGUUCGAGUCCUCGCUCAGCUG